AUUGAACGCUGGCGGCAGGCCUAACACAUGCAAGUCGAACGAGUGGCGGACGGGUGAGUAAUGUCUGGGAAACUGCCUGAUGGAGGGGGAUAACUACUGGAAACGGUAGCUAAUACCGCAUACCAUCGGAUGUGCCCAGAUGGGAUUAGCUAGUAGGUGGGGUAACGGCUCACCUAGGCGACGAUCCCUAGCUGGUCUGCGAGGAUGACCAGCCACACUGGGACUGGAGCCAGGUCCCAACUCCUACGGGAGGCAGCAGGGGGGAAUAUUGCACAAUGGGGGCAAGCCGGAUGCAGCCCUGCCCGGUGUAUGAAGAAGGCCUUCGGGUUUGUAAGUACUUUCAGCGGGGAGGCGUUACCCGCAGAAGAAGCACCGGCUAACUCCGUGCCAGCAGCCGCGGUAAUUC
rnacentral:rRNA from 1 species